UGGGGAAUAUUGCGCAAUGGGGGAAACCCUGACGCAGCAACGCCGCGUGAGUGAUGAAGGUCCUCGGAUCGUAAAGCUCUGUCGGCAGGGAAGAUGGUUUGAUUGGUUAAUAACCAGUUAAGCUGACGGUACCUGCAAAGGAAGCACCGGCUAACUCUGUGCCAGCAGCCGCGGUAAUACAGAGGGUGCAAGCGUUGUUCGGAAUUAUUGGGCGUAAAGGGCGCGUAGGCGGUCCCAAAAGUCGAAUGUGAAAGCCCAGGGCUCAACCUUGGAAGUGCAUCCGAAACUGUGGGACUAGAAUCUCGGAGAGGGUGGUGGAAUUCCCAGUGUAGAGGUGAAAUUCGUAGAUAUUGGGAGGAACACCGGUGGCGAAGGCGACCACCUGGACGAAGAUUGACGCUGAGGCGCGAAAGCGUGGGGAGCAAACAGGAUUAGAUACCCCCGUAGUCC
rnacentral:rRNA from 1 species